UACGUAGGGUCCGAGCGUUGUCCGGAUUUAUUGGGCGUAAAGAGCUCGUAGGCGGCUCGUCGCGUCGACUGUGAAAUCCCGCGGCUCAACCGCGGGUCUGCAGUCGAUACGGGCAGGCUAGAGUUCGGUAGGGGAGACUGGAAUUCCUGGUGUAGCGGUGAAAUGCGCAGAUAUCAGGAGGAACACCGAUGGCGAAGGCAGGUCUCUGGGCCGAUACUGACGCUGAGGAGCGAAAGCGUGGGGAGCGAACAGG
rnacentral:rRNA from 1 species